rnacentral:lncRNA from 1 species
ACGGAAAUGGAGCACUCAAAUGGGAUUUUGGCAGAGUUUCGAGAUAGAGUUUAGAGCCUAGAGAAGAACGUAUCUGGGGGUCCUUUUUUAUAGAUAGAGAGUGUAACUGAUUGACAGCGACGUCUGUAACUGUCUGGUAGUGGGCUAUUCAGGACCACACAGAGUUUGUUACGGAGAGUAGUGGUGUCAGGGGGCCGUUCAGGGCCAUGUGGAGUUUGUUAUGGAGAGUGGAGUGGUGUCCGUUGUCGUGACUUGCCAG